rnacentral:lncRNA from 1 species
CUUGAGUGAAGCCAGACCUGAAUCCCCAUUUUUGUUUGCGGAAAUAGGUGAUUCUAAGAAGCUUUGUAAAAUUCCAAACUGUGUUUUUAUGUGUGCACUGUCCUUUUAAUCUUUAUAAUAUUGUCUGUUAUAAGAGACGGGAAAUCGUUUUCCACCUGAGUCGUGCACUUGGCCUGAAAUAACGACCGCUCCUGUCUUAUCUCUUCCAGCUCGAGAGAUGACCCGUGGGAAGUUCCUCAAUAUCUUGGAGAAGGUGAAGAAGUGACUGAGUGGAUGAUCAUUAAGAGAAUUGACUGUGGACGUGUUAUGGCGAUCGUUCAUUUUCUAACUCUGUCCAUAUGAGAGGACCCAGGAUGGGUGUUGCUCCCCAGACCGCAUUAAAGCACAGCCACUCUUAGUAAAGAGGCAGCUAAAACGUUUUUGUGAAUUUUAAACUUUCCUGAACAGAAAUCAUUACUUUGAACAAUGUGCAAAUUAAAGAGAUAUUUGCAAAUUGUCCAGUUACAAUCUAAAAGCAUAUUUUUCAAAACUGUUUAAGAACAAGUUUUAUGGUUGCUAUAUUAGUCUAUGAAAUGGCUAUCAAAGUUUUGCUAGUUCAAGAACUUAAAUUUCUUUACCUAACGUGGCACUCUAUGCACCUCUGUAGUGGUUAUGGUGCAAAAAGUCCACUGGUGCCUCCUCACAGUAAGAAGCCAAACAAUUUUUAAACAGUUUGACACUAACCUUGGUUGCAAACGAUACUUUUUUUUUUUUUUUUUCUUCUUCUUCUUUUAAAAUAUAGUCAAAGCAGAUGUUCCCAUUCUACUUUCGUAAAUCUUUCGACCUCAUUUAUUAAAUGUGCAAAAUGUCUUUUAGCCAAUGAAUUGAACUUUAGUGAUAUCGUAGAAGACCGGCAGAGCAGUGGGCUCCUGAAGCAUCCUAGGCUUGACUGUGAUUGGGGGCCAGUGUCUACAACUAUUAAAAUAUUCUGCUAUUUAGUGGAAGUAGUGCCUUGUUACUUAUUUAAUAUUUUUUUUCAUAAAAGGAGCGAUUUUGCAGGCCUACAUAGUUAAUUAUGAGAGAACCCAGAAUGAGGGAGAUGGUAUUGCAUACCGGGAUGCUACAAUGGAGCUUAGAGUGUUCCUUUAAACUGUUACCUGCAACUGUAUUCUAAAUUACUGAUCAUGGAGCUCUUCAGGUGGGUGUUCACAAACUUCUACAAUCAGUUGAAUAUGUUCACAAAGCUCUGGAUGAGUUGGUGCUGUGUGACCAUAGAGCGCUGCAGGUGGUUGGAUGGGAUCAGUGUGUUAAUGUGCAGCUCUGCAAAUGGCUGGGUGCAAUGUGUGAUCACAGAGCUCUGCCGGUGGGUGGAUUGAUGCCGGGUGUUUGAUCACAGAGCUCUACAGGUGGGUGGUUUGCUGCCGGGUGUUUGAUCACAGAGCUCUGAAGGUGGGUGGAUUGACGCUGGGUGUUUGAUCACAGAGAUCUACAGGUGGGUGGAUUGCUGCCGGGUGUUUGAUCACAGAGCUCUACAGGUGGGUGGAUUGCUGCUGGGUGUUUGAUCACAGAGCUCUGAGUUGGGUGGAUUGACGCUGGGUGUUUGAUCACAGAGCUCUACAGGUGGGUGGAUUGCUGCCGGGUGUUUGAUCACAGAGCUCUGCCGGUGGGUGGAUUGACGCUGGGUGUUUGAUCACAGAGCUCUGAGUUGGGUGGAUUGCUGCCGGGUGUUUGAUCACAGAGCUCUACAGGUGGGUGGAUUGCUGCCGGGUGUUUGAUCACAGAGCUCUGCCGGUGGGUGGAUUGACGCUGGGUGUUUGAUCACAGAGCUCUGAGUUGGGUGGAUUGCUGCCGGGUGUUUGAUCACAGAGCUCUACAGGUGGGUGGAUUGCUGCCGGGUGUUUGAUCACAGAGCUCUGCCGGUGGGUGGAUUGACGCUGGGUGUUUGAUCACAGAGCUCUGCAGGUGGGUGGAUUGCUGCCGGGUGUUUGAUCACAGAGCUCUACAGGUGGGUGGAUUGCUGCCGGGUGUUUGAUCACUGAGCUCUGCCGGUGGGUGGAUUGACGCUGGGUGAUUGAUCACAGAGCUCAGGAUUAUGAAGAAUAUAUCCCCUACAUGGAGCCUGAAUAUAGAGGAAUAACAAAGUUCAUGUUUCACUCUUUCCAAAGCCAUCAAACACUGUGAGGAAAUUGCCACUUACCCCAAGAACGU